rnacentral:rRNA from 1 species
UGGCAGUUCCCUACUCUCGCAUGGGGAGACCCCACACUACCAUCGGCGCUACGGCGUUUCACUUCUGAGUUCGGCAUGGGGUCAGGUGGGACCACCGCGCUAGUGCCGCCA